rnacentral:misc_RNA from 1 species
GAUGAAGAACGUAGUGAAAUGCGAUACGUAAUGUGAAUUGCAGAAUUCAGUGAAACAUCGAGUCUUUGAACGCACAUUGCGCCCCCUGGUAUUCCGGGGGGCAUGCCUGUCCGAGCGUCAUUGCUGCCCUCAAGCACGGCUUGUGUGUUGGGCCUCCGUCCUCCUCCCGGGGGACGGGCCCGAAAGGCAGCGGCGGCACCGCGUCCGGUCCUCGAGCGUAUGGGGCUUCGUCACCCGCUCUUGUAGGCCCGGCCGGCGCUUGCCGACACAUCAAUCUUUUUUCCAGGUUGACCUCGGAUCAGGUAGGGAUACCCGCUGAACUUAAGCAUAUCAAUAAGCGGAGGA